GGCUCGUUGGUCUGGGGUAUGAUUCUCGCUUUGGGUGCGUGGAGGGUUCAAAUCCUGGAUGAGCCC